GAACGCUAGCUACAGGCUAACACAUGCAAGUCGAGGGGAAACGGCGUUGAGUGCUUGCACUCUUCGGACGUCGACCGGCGCACGGGUGAGUAACGCGUAUCCAACCUUCCCAUAACUAAGGGAUAACCUACCGAAAGGCAGACUAAUACCUUAUGUAAUUCUUAGAUGACAUCAGAAGAGAAUGAAAGAUUUAUCGGUUAUGGAUGGGGAUGCGUCUGAUUAGCUUGUUGGCGGGGUAACAGCCCACCAAGGCAACGAUCAGUAGGGGUUCUGAGAGGAAGGUCCCCCACAUUGGAACUGAGACACGGUCCAAACUCCUACGGGAGGCAGCAGUGAGGAAUAUUGGUCAAUGGGCGAGAGCCUGAACCAGCCAAGUAGCGUGCAGGAUGACGGCCCUAUGGGUUGUAAACUGCUUUUGUAUGGGGAUAAAGUCAAUCACGUGUGAUUGUUUGCAGGUACCAUACGAAUAAGGACCGGCUAAUUCCGUGCCAGCAGCCGCGGUAAUACGGAAGGUUCGGGCGUUAUCCGGAUUUAUUGGGUUUAAAGGGAGCGUAGGCCGGAGAUUAAGUGUGUUGUGAAAUGUAGACGCUCAACGUCUGACUUGCAGCGCAUACUGGUUUCCUUGAGUACGCACAACGUUGGCGGAAUUCGUCGUGUAGCGGUGAAAUGCUUAGAUAUGACGAAGAACUCCGAUUGCGAAGGCAGCUGACGGGAGCGCCACUGACGCUUAAGCUCGAAGGUGCGGGUAUCGAACAGGAUUAGAUACCCUGGUAGUCCGCACAGUAAACGAUGGAUGCCCGCUGUUGGUACCUAGUAU
rnacentral:rRNA from 1 species